rnacentral:rRNA from 1 species
GAUGAACGCUGGCGGCGUGCCUAAUACAUGCAAGUCGAGCGAACAGACGAGGAGCUUGUUCCUCUGACGUUAGCGGCGGACGGGUGAGUAACACGUGGAUAACCUACCUAUAAGACUGGGAUAACUUCGGGAAACCGGAGCUAAUACCGGAUAAUAUAUUGAACCGCAUGGUUCAAUAGUGAAAGACGGUUUUGCUGUCACUUAUAGAUGGAUCCGCGCCGCAUUAGCUAGUUGGUAAGGUAACGGCUUACCAAGGCAACGAUGCGUAGCCGACCUGAGAGGGGGAUCGGCCACACUGGAACUGAGAAACGGUCCAGACUCCAACGGGAGGCAGCAGUAGGGAAUCUUCCGCAAUGGGCGAAGGCCUGACGGAGCAACGCCGCGUGAGGGAUGAAGGUCUUCGGAUCGUAAAACUCUGUUAUUAGGGAAGAACAAAUGUGUAAGUAACUAUGCACGUCUUGACGGUACCUAAUCAGAAAGCCACGGCUAACUACGUG